GACGAACCGAGCGAACGUUAUUCGGAAUCACUGGGCUUAAAGGGCGCGUAGGCGGACCGUCAAGUCAGGGGUGAAAGCCCGCGGCUCAACCGCGGAUGUGCCUUUGAUACUGGCGGCCUCGAGGGAGGUAGGGGCGUGCGGAACUUCCGGUGGAGCGGUGAAAUGCGUAGAUAUCGGAAGGAACACCGGUGGCGAAAGCGGCGCGCUGGACCUCUUCUGACGCUGAGGCGCGAAAGCGUGGGGAGCAAACAGG
rnacentral:rRNA from 1 species